GAUCCUGGCUCAGGACGAACGCUGGCGGCGUGCCUAACACAUGCAAGUCGAACGGAGAAUUUUAUUUCGGUAGAAUUCUUAGUGGCGAACGGGUGAGUAACGCGUAGGCAACCUGCCCUUUAGACGGGGACAACAUUCCGAAAGGAGUGCUAAUACCGGAUGUAAUCAUCUUGCCGCAUGGCAGGAUGAAGAAAGAUGGCCUCUACAAGUAAGCUAUCGCUAAAGGAUGGGCCUGCGUCUGAUUAG
rnacentral:rRNA from 1 species